CUUGGUCAUUUAGAGGAAGUAAAAGUCGUAACAAGGUUUCCGUAGGUGAACCUGCGGAAGGAUCAUUACCUAGAGUUGUAGGCUUUGCCUGCUAUCUCUUACCCAUGUCUUUUGAGUACCUUACGUUUCCUCGGUGGGUUCGCCCACCGAUUGGACAAACUUAAACCCUUUGCAGUUGAAAUCAGCGUCUGAAAAAACUUAAUAGUUACAACUUUCAACAACGGAUCUCUUGGUUCUGGCAUCGAUGAAGAACGCAGCGAAAUGCGAUAAGUAGUGUGAAUUGCAGAAUUCAGUGAAUCAUCGAAUCUUUGAACGCACAUUGCGCCCCUUGGUAUUCCAUGGGGCAUGCCUGUUCGAGCGUCAUUUGUACCUUCAAGCUUUGCUUGGUGUUGGGUGUUUGUCUCGCCUCCGCGCGUAGACUCGCCUCAAAACAAUUGGCAGCCGGCGUAUUGUUUUCGGAGCGCAGUACAUCUCGCGCUUUGCACUCAUAACGACGACGUCCAAAAGUACAUUUUUACACUCUUGACCUCGGAUCAGGUAGGGAUACCCGC
rnacentral:rRNA from 1 species